rnacentral:lncRNA from 1 species
AAUAGUAUUUCAUUGCUACAAAUAUGGAUUAUUGAAAAGAAUAAGACAUGUAUUUGGAUAUUUCCCUUCAACUCCAAUUUUUUUUUUUUUAUUUUACAUGAAUAGUUGAAGCGAAUUCUCCUAAGAGAAAAAUGGAUUAUGGGAGUGUGUGACUUGGACUAUUGAUUUGGUCGUGCGGAUAUAUGCCCUUAUCCGCCACAUUGGAAUUAAUAACCAAAUGUGUCUUUGUUCCAACCACUGCGUAAGCCCCAUAUAGAGGAUAGGCUGGUUCACUUGAAGAGAAUAUUUUCUAUGAUCAGAUCCAAUCAUGUUGUACAUGAACAGGCUCCAUAAAACCCAGUAGAAUAAGCGAUAUGGUAGAAUCUAUAUUCUAUUUUACCUAUUUUAUUUAUAUGUUUUAUUUUAUUUAUUUCCUUUACUUUAUUACUUAAUACUUUAUAGAUUACUUAAUACUUUAUAGUAUGGAAAUGCAGUCAUUUCCUCUGCAUUGAUCCGAUUUAUGAUACUAUCGUAGUGAAGUGAAAUAAGGGAUCUAAAGAAUGACAUAGGCUAAACUAUAUUAGUAACAAGUAAAUCCUUUGUAUGUAAAAAGUCUCGAUAUUUUUUAGAGAUAAAGGCCAAUCGAAAGGUCUGAGACGACCCAAAAAG